UCUCGCGUAGUAUACCGGCUAGUAUACUCCGCUUUCACAUUACAAGCUGACCCGGAGAGAACCGGGUUCGAUUCCCGGCGCGAGAA